CAUGUCCGGCUUUUCAGCAAUCAAACCCCCGUCCGGGGGGAAUUGCUGAAAAGCCACACAUGUCCGGGAAAAUGGCCGGCACUUCCUCUCCCCCUGUGGCUCUGCUCCACUCCUCCUCUCUCAGAUUUACAGAGCCAAGCUGCCCGAGCAAGCGCUACUGGCUUCAGGCAGCCUCCGGACCCCGAGCCCCCAGCCAGGCACUUCUCCUACCCGGCUCCAGCUGAGCUGCUCCCACGGUGCAAGGUCCCGAGGCAGGGGGGGUGCUGCCUGAAGCCGGUAACGCUGGCUCCUGCAGCUCUGCUCUGUAAGUCUGAGGGGGCGGAGCCGAGCUCGGCUGGAGCUGGGGAAGGGACGUGUCCAGCCAGCUCUGGGUCCUGAGGUAGGGGAGGGCUGCCCGAAGCCAGCAGCUCGGCUCUUACAGUCUGAGCUGGGAGGAGCAGCUCAGCUGGAGCCCAGGUAGGAGAAGUGCCUGAAGCCGGUAGCACUAGGGCAGCUCGGCUCUUAAACAGAGCCGAAGAGUCAGGGAGCAGCAGCAGUCGCCAGAGCCUGCUCUAAGGUGGAUUACCCUGAGUGAGACACCGAAUUGGAGUGAUGUGGAACCUUGUAUCAAGUACCUGACCGAUAAGGGGAUGCAAAUUGAUGACGUGAAGUGUUUUGAUCAGUUCAGCAACCUGAAGAAGUUUACAGAAAGUUGCAACAGUGAUGAAGAGUUCAGUAAUUUGCUAGCACACCAGAAGUGGACCAAAUAUUUUGAGAAAUCCAAAAACAUUGAGUGUCAUUCAGAACUGUUAAAGAUUGCACAGUUUUUCUUUGCUAUUCCUUCUCACAAUGCAAAUGUAGAGCGAAUUUUUUCACUGAUGCAAAGCCAGUGGACAAAGGAAAGGACCAACUUGAAUGUUGAGUCGUUGAAAGGAAUUCUACUUGUACAGUACAACUUCAGACAAACUUCUUGUAAAGACUUUCAUGCCUUCUUAAAGAGCAAUCAACCACUGCUGAGAAAAAUGCGAUCUGCAGAGAAGUAUGCGUGGGCACAUGAGGAGAAAGAAAACUGAAGAACUGGUGAAAGGAAAGGACUCACUACAUAUAAAGAAUUACGUUUUAGAAUUAAAGAAUUAAAUAGCUCAAAAUGUCCGGGAUUUUACCCGGCAGGGAGGAGAACUGGGUGCUCCAAGGCAUCUGGGGAGCUGGGAAACAGAACAGUGUGAGCUGCGUGUCCUGACCGCUCCCAAAAACGGAGCGCUGGGGCAGAUCCUCCACUGAGCAGCUUCAUUAAAGUCAUGGGAGUCUAUA